rnacentral:rRNA from 1 species
CGCGUAGGCGGCUUUGCAAGCCGGAUGUGAAAUCCCCGGGCUUAACCUGGGAACUGCAUUCGGGACUGCAUUGCUAGAGUAUGGGAGAGGGAAGUGGAAUUUCAGGUGUAGCGGUGAAAUGCGUAGAUAUCUGAAGGAACAUCAGUGGCGAAAGCGACUUCCUGGACCAAUACUGACGCUCAUGUGCGAAAGCGUGGGAGCAAACA